rnacentral:misc_RNA from 1 species
UUUAGCACCAUUUUUUCUCUGUGUCUCAAUUUACAUGUAGAUGCCGUCGGGUACACGUCUCUUCGAGGCUAGCUGAUUGAAUGCCUAAUGGCAGUCAACUGUCUCUGGCCUUUUCUGGAAAAAUUCAGCGGAAAAGUCAAUUUGCGUGAAUUUUCUCGCCAAACUGCGGCUAUCGAUGCUUCUUGUUGGAUACAUAGGGCUUUGUAUUUGUCCAUAAGUCAAAGUGGAAAUCGAGAGAGGUGAGAAAUUUUAGUGAUGAUACUCUUACUUCGUUUAGAAAGGUGUUUUUUCGAUUAUAGAAGUCAAGUAUGUUUUGUUUUCAAUUGAAGAUUUGAUAGUAUAUUUCAAAGCUAUCUACAGACGGUGACGAACGCCGGCGUAAGGCCGUUAGUUGUCUUUGAUGGGCUGCCUUUACCAGCCAAGGCAGCCGAAGAGGAAAGAAGGAAAAGGUGAUAAUACAUCUACGUUGGAAAAAAUUUGUUUGUCCGUGGGUAUAAUUUACGUUGUUUCCCCGUACGAGUCAGAUGCCCAAAUAGCUUUCCUGCUUGGCAGUGACUGUGCGGAUUUUGCAAUUACUGAAGAUUCAGACCUCUUGGCAUACAGCUGCAAAAAGGUUUGUGCACUUAAUAUCCUGCCCCUUUUCAGAUCUAAGGUUUUCUUUUUGCUUUUCCCCUCAAAGGCUUUCGUAAGUUGUUGGCUUUUUCUGAAAAUUAGUUUUGUUUUGCUUUUUUCUUUCCAGAUUUCAUGUAUUAUUUCUUCAAUGUUUUUUUCUUCCAACACUGGCCCGAAAGAAUUCCAAGUUGAUUACUUUCCCCAAAGAAUUCCCCAAAUUUAAUAGCUUCCAUCUGUUUUGUUGAUGGGAAAGUCAAAUAAAAUUGCCUUUGGUUGGGAAUCUACCAUAUUGUCAAGGGCACCCAACGACAAUUUUCGGAAAAUAUCUGUUCGGAAGACGAUUUGAGAUCUAGAACUUUCGGAAAAUUUUUUGUAAAAUUUCUUGCUUGCCUUCCUCUCCCAGAAUUUUCGAACAUCUGAAAAUGGUAUAAUUGCCCAUUUUUAACGGAUUUUUAGACUAGAAAGCUCACCUAGAAUUCUCGGGAGCCUUCUUUCUGGCUGGAAUUUUC